rnacentral:rRNA from 1 species
ACGAAGGGUGCAAGCGUUAAUCGGAAUUACUGGGCGUAAAGCGUGCGUAGAUGGUUCAUUAAGUCGGAUGUGAGAGCCCCGGGCUCAACCUGGGAACUGCAUCCGAUACUGGUGGACUAGAGUGCGGUAGAGGAUGGCGGAAUUCCCGGUGUAGCGGUGAAAUGCGUAGAGAUCGGGAGGAACAUCCGUGGCGAAGGCGGCCAUCUGGACCAGCACUGACGUUGAGGCACGAAAGCGUGGGGAGCAAACAGGA